rnacentral:tRNA from 1 species
GCGGAAGUAGCUUAGUGGGAGAGUACAACCUUGCCAAGGUUGGGGUCGAGGGUUCGAAUCCCUUCUUCCGCU